rnacentral:rRNA from 1 species
AUGUUUCCUGUGUGCUCUCUUUCUCAGAAAACACACACUCUCUCUCUUCUUUCUCUCGGUCAUAGCACCUCUCUCUUCUUUCACGUCACCUCUUUUCUCAGAAAAACACGCUCUCUCACCUCCCCUCUUUCACUGACACACAAUGAAAAGAUGUGCAGGUUCUCUCUCUUUCCUCCCAAUUCUUCGUGUCUGCAUAGAAAACCAACUCACGUGACUACAGUUGCUGGAACAGUAGCACCUGACAUCCAAGCCCGGUCAAAUCUGGUUAAUGACACUGGCGCAGGCAGGAGGCGGUCACAUGAUGCACAAAUCACCACGCAGAAACUGACGGCCAGGAUAAUGGGUACCGUAGAGCUCCAGCUACACUGCAACUUUCUCUUAAGAGCAACUCCCAAAAUUUCAGAGAAGAGUCAAACUGACAGAUCUAGCAGGUUUUAUCAUUGUCAGAAUAGCAUAAAUGAAAUAUAUGAAAACAUGAUAGAAAAUCUUGAAGCGAAUGGAUAA